GACGAACCGUGCGACCGUUGUUCGGAAUCACUGGGCUUAAAGGGCGCGUAGGCGGCUUCGCAAGUCCGGGGUGAAAGCCCCCAGCUUAACUGGGGAAGUGCCUCGGAUACUGCGGAGCUCGAGGGAGGUAGGGGCGGAUGGAACUUCCGGUGGAGCGGUGAAAUGCGUUGAUAUCGGAAGGAACGCCGGUGGCGAAAGCGAUCCGCUGGCCCUCUACUGACGCUGAGGCGCGAAAGCCAGGGGAGCAAACGGG
rnacentral:rRNA from 1 species